AGAAAGGUAGAACGAAAAGAAGCUUCUAACUUCUAUUUCAAGCAGUUUAAUUCUGUUUAUUUCUCUA
rnacentral:tRNA from 1 species